rnacentral:rRNA from 1 species
UACGUAGGGGGCGAGCGUUGUCCGGAAUUAUUGGGCGUAAAGAGCGUGUAGGCGGUUCGGUAAGUCUGCCGUGAAAACCUGAGGCUCAACCUCGGGCGUGCGGUGGAUACUGCCGGGCUAGAGGACGGUAGAGGCGAGUGGAAUUCCCGGUGUAGCGGUGAAAUGCGCAGAUAUCGGGAGGAACACCAGUACGCGAAGGCGGAGCUCG